rnacentral:rRNA from 3 species
CGCGUGAGGGAGGGGCUCUUGGGUCGUAAACCUCUUUUCUCAGGGAAGAACACAAUGACGGUACCUGAGGAAUAAGCAUCGGCUAACUCCGUGCCAGCAGCCGCGGUAAUACGGAGGAUGCAAGCGUUAUCCGGAAUGAUUGGGCGUAAAGCGUCCGCAGGUGGUAAUGUAAGUCUGCUGUUAAAGAGUCUAGCUCAACUAGAUAAGAGCAGUGGAAACUACAUAGCUAGAGUACGUUCGGGGCAGAGGGAAUUCCUGGUGUAGCGGUGAAAUGCGUAGAGAUCAGGAAGAACACCAGUGGCGAAGGCGCUCUGCUAGGCCGUAACUGACACUGAGGGACGAAAGCUAGGGGAGCGAAUGGGAUUAGAUACCCCCUAG